AAAAAAAAAAAAAAAAAAAAAAAAAAAAUAAAAGGAAUCCGAGAGGAAAUGAAAUUGAAAGAGUGAAAGUUAUGUAGCCGCGCAUAUAGAAAAGGGGGAAUCGAAGAAUAUAUGUAUAUAAUUUGCUCGGUCCUGAACUGUCAACAAGAGGAGAGUUAACACGGAUUGAAUCAAUUAUAGCCCCGUUUUGGAGUGAACGAGCAAAUGACGGAAUGAGCAAUUUCCGGGCUUGGUUAAUCCAUAUAACGAGUAAAUGAAUUUUUGUUAUAAAUUGUCUUUGACUAUAGUCUGCGAAUUAUGUUUGUAAUGUAAAACUGAAAAUGAAGAAAAAAUGGUAUCAAGUAUUGAGUUAUAAAAAAAAACAAGCAAUGCUAGAAAAAGAAAAUCAGAAAUUAGAUUGACAAUAUAAGAAGAUCAUAUAACGGUGUGCAUAUUU